UAUGCGAUACUUGGUGUGAAUUGCAGAAUUCAGUGAAUCAUCGAAUCUUUGAACGCACCUUGCGCUCCUUGGUAUUCCGAGGAGCAUGCCUGUUUGAGUGUCAUUAAAUUCUCAACCUCACCCGUUUUCUGAAUGGACUGAGGCUUGGAUGUGGGGGUUUGUGCAGGCUGCCUUCUUGUGCGGUCUGCUCCCCUGAAAUGCAUUAGCGAGUUCAUACUGAACUUCCGUCUAUUGGUGUGAUAAUUAUCUACGCCGUGGAUGAGGUUUAGACUUGCUUCUAACCGUCCGCAAGGACAAUACCUUGACAAUUUGACCUCAAAUCAGGGUAGGAUUACCCGCUGAACUUAAGCAUAUCAAUAAGCGGAGGAA
rnacentral:rRNA from 2 species